GAUGAACGCUGGCGGCGUGCCUAAUACAUGCAAGUCGAGCGAACGGACGAGAAGCUUGCUUCUCUGAUGUUAGCGGCGGACGGGUGAGUAACACGUGGAUAACCUACCUAUAAGACUGGGAUAACUUCGGGAAACCGGAGCUAAUACCGGAUAAUAUUUUGAACCGCAUGGUUCAAAAGUGAAAGACGGUCUUGCUGUCACUUAUAGAUGGAUCCGCGCUGCAUUAGCUAGUUGGUAAGGUAACGGCUUACCAAGGCAACGAUGCAUAGCCGACCUGAGAGGGUGAUCGGCCACACUGUAACUGAACCACGGUCCAGACUCCUACGGGAGGCAGCAGUAGGGAAUCUUCCGCAAUGGGCGAAAGCCUGACGGAGCAACGCCGCGUGAGUGAUGAAGGUCUUCGGAUCGUAAAACUCUGUUAUUAGGGAAGAACAUAUGUGUAAGUAACUGUGCACAUCUUGACGGUACCUAAUCAGAAAGCCACGGCUAACUACGUG
rnacentral:rRNA from 1 species